rnacentral:piRNA from 2 species
UGGUAAAGGAAGGAGAAGCAUGAGGUUC